CCCAACGCCCAGGUGCCCCGGCUCGCGCUCUGGCCCGGGCGAAUCGGGCUAUAGGAAGGGCCACACGGAUGGAAGUCCUAGUCCGGGUGCUCACCUCUUGUGGAACGUGCAAAGCCUGUCCCAGGACCUCUUUACACUCUGGGGGUCUCUGCCCAGGCACGCUUGCUGCUUCCGGACACAGCUGUGGGCGGAGCUAGUAGGGGCGGGGCUACGUGAUUGACACUUCUCUCCUCAGACUUCAAGGGCUACCACUGGACCCUUCCCCUGUCUUGAACCCUGAGCCGGCACCAUGGUGAGAACCCUGAGCCCAGCCCUUCACCUCCGCAGGCCCGCGCCCUCACCCCCAGUGGCAGUGCCAUGGUUGCCCCGUAUGAACCUAGGGCUCCACAGUGUGGGGUUUUUGCAGGUCAGCUUCUGCAAGGCAACCUGCACUCUUCCAACCCGUUCAUCCUUGUAGCACGGACGCCUGAAGGUGAAGACGUCAGAAGAGCAGGCGGAGGCCAAAAGGCUAGAGCGAGAGCAGAAGCUGAAGCUAUACCAGUCAGCCACCCAGGCCGUAUUCCAGAAGCGCCAGGCUGGUGAGCUGGAUGAGUCCGUGCUGGAACUGACAAGCCAGAUUCUGGGAGCCAACCCUGAUUUUGCCACCCUCUGGAACUGCCGACGAGAGGUGCUCCAGCA
rnacentral:lncRNA from 1 species